ensembl:misc_RNA
UUGAGACGCCUAACUCCCACUGAAAUCAGAGCGUUUGUUCAUAAAGCAGAUAGGGCAUAUGCUGUGGCAAUGAAUAUUGCCUGACCCACUGUGCCUGAACCUUGACUAGCAAAGACUACCUGAAAGGGUAAGAGGGUAGUUCACUCUCCAUUUCCAUUCAAUCCUUGUGCCUUU